rnacentral:rRNA from 1 species
GGCGGUUUUUUAAAGUUCUGAAUGUGAAAAGCCCCCCCGGCUUAACCGGGGAGGGUCAUUUGGAAAACUGGGGAAACUUGAGUGCAGAAAGAGGAGAGUGGAAUUCCACGUGUAGCGGUGAAAUGCGUAGAGAUGUGGAGGAACACCAGUGGCGAAGGCGACUCUCUGGUCUGUAACUGACGCUGAGGAGCGAAAGCGUGGGGAGCGAACAGGAUUAGAUACCCUGGUAGUCCACGCCGUAAACGAUGAGUGCUAAGUGUUAGGGGGUUUCCGCCCCUUAGUGCUGCAGCUAACGCAUUAAGCACUCCGCCUGGGGAGUACGGUCGCAAGACUGAAACUCAAAGGAAUUGACGGGGGCCCGCACAAGCGGUGGAGCAUGUGGUUUAAUUCGAAGCAACGCGAAGAACCUUACCAGGUCUUGACAUCCUCUGACAAUCCUAGAGAUAGGACGUCCCCUUCGGGGGCAGAGUGACAGGUGGUGCAUGGUUGUCGUCAGCUCGUGUCGUGAGAUGUUGGGUUAAGUCCCGCAACGAGCGCAACCCUUGAUCUUAGUUGCCAGCAUUCAGUUGGGCACUCUAAGGUGACUGCCGGUGACAAACCGGAGGAAGGUGGGGAUGACGUCAAAUCAUCAUGCCCCUUAUGACCUGGGCUACACACGUGCUACAAUGGACAGAACAAAGGGCAGCGAAACCGCGAGGUUAAGCCAAUCCCACAAAUCUGUUCUCAGUUCGGAUCGCAGUCUGCAACUCGACUGCGUGAAGCUGGAAUCGCUAGUAAUCGCGGAU